rnacentral:rRNA from 1 species
GACAGAGGUCCCGAGCGUUAGGCGGAAUCACUGGGCUUAAAGCGUGUGUAGGCGGAUUUGUAAGUACCUUGUGAAAUCCCACGGCUUAACCGUGGAACUGCUUGGUAUACUGCGAAUCUUGGGCCAUCUAGGGGCGAGCGGAACAAGUGGUGGAGCGGUGAAAUGCGUAGAUAUCGCUAGGAACUCCGGUGGCGAAGGCGAGACGCUGGACCCUUUCUGACACUGAGGCGCGAAAGCCAGGGGGAGCGAACGGG